UCGCCAGUCAGACUCCCCACCACAGUGACACAAACCAACCAGCCGCCUCGAGAGGUUGCUGAAGAGGUAUGCAGCGAUGGUCUGGAGGAAAAAAUAGUCACAUGGACUGGUGUGCAUUCCAGUACUUGAAAUGAUGCUGUUGCUCAGGCACAUCCAGGUGCGAGGAUGGGGGAGAUCCGGAUGUCGCUAAAUAAAAGAAUCUGUGAACUGCUUCACCAAGAGAAAAAGAAGUCCAUGGACAGGCCUAUGAGCCCUCUUGUUGACCUUGAGUGACUGAGGCUGCGGGCGGUCUGCCCCUGAAUUCACCUUCACUUUCUUUUCUUUUUUUUAAAAAUAUAUCUGAAGGUGUGUGUGUGCGCGAGCGCGGGUGUGUGUGUGUGUGGGCGCGGGCACGCGUAUGUGUUUGUGUGUGUGCGCGUGUGUGUGCACGCGUGCAUGUGUGCCAGUGCUUUAUGUGAGGUGUUUCGCUUACCGGCCACAGCCACAGUUUUUGUUUUGUUUUCUUUUUGUUUUAUUUGGGUUUUUUUAGAAUAUUUCUGCUUUUUCAUUAAGUACAAGUUACUGGCCAAAGUGGGAGACUGAAAUUGUUACUGGCCACAGGCAAGUUUCACCAGCAUUUGGCCUGUUGGCCGGUGUCGUUGUCAAGUCGUUUCCCUGCCUGUCUGCCCCUCUGUCUCUGCAUGUGGGAGCGGUGGUGUUAAAGGGUCGGUUGGUUUCUUGUUUUUAA